rnacentral:rRNA from 1 species
GUUUAACCUUCGGGRGGACGCUURCCACUUUGUGGUUCAUGACUGGGGUGAAGUCGUAACAAGGUAGCGCUAGGGGAACCUGGCGCUGGAUCACCUCCUUAAACGAUGAU